AAGGCAAGCCCAGCAAGGGAUUGCCGCCCGUUAGCAUCGGCCUUCUAAGCCGAGGGUGGGGGGUUCGAGUCCCUCCUGCC
rnacentral:tRNA from 1 species